GUGAUUUAAUCGAUCGGGAAGCAGCAAUGCGACCCGAGGCAGCAAUGCCGAAACUUUGUGUGCACCAACCUAUUGUGGGAGACGGAAUCGGGAGACGGGAUUCUAGCUUUCGGCUGGACCCUGUCGCCUCCCUUUUUCGCCUUUUUCAACCUUGUCAUUUGAUUUACCUGUCUAACAAGUUGAUUUAAUGAAUAAUUAUUAA
rnacentral:misc_RNA from 1 species